rnacentral:lncRNA from 1 species
CUUUGAUUGCAACCUCACGGAAGUUAGACUUGGUGUUCGAGUAGAGACAUUUCCACUCAUCCAAAAUCAUCGAACUAGGAGGAAGCAAGUCAAGAGGAUUUUUGGCCUUGGGCUUUGGUGCCUCCUCCUCAGCAGGUGCUGCAGGCUUCUCUUCUUGUUUCUUGGGCUCAGCCUUCGCUUUGGCAGCUGCUGCAGCCUCUUCAGGUGUUUUCACUGGUGGGACGGCGUCUGUCUGCUUUACCUCACCCAUUAUCUUUUUGAAAUUUGGUUGAUUGACCAAUGUCCAGAAGUACCUCUCAACGUGGGGAAACUCAGAAGUAAAGCUUUUAGUCAAUAUAUAGUUGAAUCCCAAAUAGAGAUUGCAUGUCAGAAUGAUAUCAGCUAGUGUCACGGAGUGUCCAACGAGGAAUGUGUUUGAAGCAAGGUAGGAGUUCAAAGCACCGAAAGAUCGUUUUAGAGCAGCAUCAGCGGUUUCCUCUACCUUCAUGAAGAGAAUAAUACCAAAGAAAUAAUUCAUUCAUAGGUAUCAAAGGAAUACUUACAUGGUUUGAAAAGUGAAUGAAAAUGGAUAUAUAUAUAUAUAAUAAAAGAAAUAAAGUGAAAAGAAAGAAAAACUUCUUUGCAAUCCAACUCACUUCUUUUAUUAAUGCCCACAGAUAAAGAAUACAAAAGAAGAAAAUAAACCUCAACCAUUAACAUCCACUUUCAACCACAACUCAAAACAGAAAUAAGAAAAAAGAAAUCCAACUUACACCCGGAUGGAAAGCAGCAUAUCCAAAUCUAGGCCUCAACUUAGUUGACACAGGAAUAUCAAUUUCAAACGUGGAAAAAUCAAUCCAUUGUUCAACAUGUCCCUGAAAAGAAUAGAAACGAAAGAAUUGAUUAGCAAACAGUUCCUUUCUAAUUGAAGAAAAGGGAAGAAUCAUAAUCAAAACCAAUUAAGAAAACGGAUCUUUACACAAUCAAUGGAAGAAGAGCCAAAUAAACCACUGUCCUUCAAGCGAGCAACUGAACCAUUUAGAGAGAAAAAAACAUUAGCAUAAAAUAAAAACAAAAGGAAGAAGAUUUCCAUUUUAACUCAUCUCCCCAGUUAUCAAGACUCUCCUAAGGAGAAACAUGAAAUAGUAAUUACCAUAGCGAGCUAUAGCAUUGCUCUCAAAGAUAGCACCAUCUGGUGUUUCCAGAACAGGAACCUACAAUAUCAAACAUUAUUUUAGAAUAUUCAAGCGCAUAUCAGUUGUAAACACUAUCUCUCACACAGUCAGAUUAACAGGCAUCACCCGUAAUAUAUGUUUACCUUCCCAAUAGGAUUCAUUUUCAGAUAUUCAGGACUCUUGUUGGUCACGCCCAUGGUAAAAUCUUGGGAAAGAUCAACCUUGACACCAUUGUACUCCGCAGCUAUUAAAGCCUUGUAAGCAUUUUUGUUAGUCUUCCAAGAAUGCAAGACCUGCAAAAUCAAUACACAUAUACAUCAAAGAACAAAAUUACAUUAGACCAGAAAUCAUCCAUUUCUCCUAUGCAACUUAACAAACGAGUAAUCAGACAUUAAAUUUAUGUCCGUGCAAUCGGAACAUAAAUCAAUAGGCUAUAGCAUGCAAGAAGCAAUAAAUGGCAUGGAUAACUAAGUUGAACAUAAUUCUAAAAAACUCCAUCCAUCACAGUACAAAAAAGAAGCAAGGAUAAACACCAAUCGUCAAUAAUGUAAAUCAAAUCAACUAAUUCUUCAAUCCUCCUACGCAAUUCAACGUCAAAAACUUAAGAAUUGCAAAAAGUAGAGAAAUUAAGGAAAUGCGGCGGACAUAAAAGAGUAAUACUUUCGAAGAUCGAUUACUAAAUUCCUCCAAAACUACUCAAACACACUGUAAAAACAUGGGAUCCGGAAUAAGUAGACGAAAAUAAAUCCAGUGGUUCAGAAAUAAAAUCGGCAGAAAAGAAAAAGAGCAUAAAAAGAUGGAGAGCGGAAGUAAUGAGAGAGACUCACGAGAGCCAUCGGUUCGCGGAAGAAACGUUUCGCUCAAAAAUCAGAUCUGAAUAAAUAGGAAAGAAAACACAAGAGUUAGGAAGUGGAAUAAGAGAAUUAGUGAUGAUAAGGAAGAGAUUGAAGGUGGAGAGAAUGAUAGAGAUGAAAGAAAGGGGAAUAAGAAGAGGAUGAAGAUGAGAAAAAGGUAGAAGGAGAGAGACCUGUGAGAGGGCGAGCGUUGUUCCGAGAGCAGGAAAUGUGUUGGGAAGAGAGAGAGAAUAUAAGGAGUGAGGGAAUUAGGGUUUUGUAAAGGGUUUUUUUAUAUUAUUAUUAUUUAUUAUUUAUUUGUUUUAUUUAAUGCAUGGCCCAAAUUGAGAAGAAAUAUGAGUUUUGACCCAAAUCUUUGAAAAUUAGGUUUUUUUUUUUUAAUUUUAAUUUUAACAUUUAUUGAAGUGCAAAAUUGGGCACCAAAAACCACUGUGUUCUCGUACACAUGCACAAUGGGUUUUACCUCUCUCUCUCUCUUUCUCUCUCUCUCCCCCUCCCCUUUUAUCACUCUAUCAAACUACUUUUUGCUUUGCUUUCCAGCGUCUCAUAAGAUUUUGGGCAAACCAAGAAGAAGAAGAAAAUCAUCGCUAUAGACCACAAACAAGAAGGGAAAAGAAAAGAAUAGAAAAUCUCCAACUUCACUCAUCCAUGCCAAACUCAAUUACCAAUACUUUUUAAGAAAAUGAAGCAUUUUUCAUUUUAAGAAAGGUUCUUCUAGAUUGAUUGGAUUUCAUCUCAUGUUUGAUAUAGACACAACUAAAUUUUAAGAUUACUCAUUACUAACAUAUAUUUGUGCUUUUACUCUUACUUAAUUCAUUGAAACGUGAAUGACGAGGGAAUAACUUAUGGAAAAAUAAUAUAUUUCAAAUUUUCAUUUUUUUUAUAACAAAACUCCUUAAAAUAAAAUUUUUUAAAAAAAAACUAGCUUUCAAAACUGUUUUCUUUAAGGUAAAAGCUCAUUGAAAUUGAUAUUUACUAAGAGUCCUUAUUAUUCUCAAAUUACUAUUGAAAGAAGUUGGUCGACAAAUAAUUGAAAGAUGGUGAAAACAUCACCAUAAAAAUCAAAGAAAAGGAAAUCAAUGAUGGCUCUUACACGCUUGAAUGAAUACAAAGAACUUAAAUUUAACUAUGUUAUUUUUAGUUUUUCAUGCAAGUUAACAUUUAAAAACUCAAGGAAUUAUUUAGAGUUAAUUAAGUAUUUAGCUUAAAUAAACUUAUUUUAUAAAAUGAUUUUUAUUUAAUAAUUACAUAAAAGUGAACAUGUACAAGUUGCUAUACAUUUUAAAAUGGGAAAAGGUCAAUCCAUACUAAUAUGUUGCUAAUUAUAAAGGGUGACAAUCAGACCUAUUUGAAAGGCUUUCCAAAUAUAAAUAUGAUUUGAUUACGAUGGAGAAUCGAGGCUGUUUACUUAUCUGCUGGUAUCUUUGUCCCCAUAAUGUUAUCUUCGUUAUAUCAAUCGAUAAUGGUAUUCGUAACAAAAAUCUAUUUGAAAUGAAGGCAGAAAACAAAAUCUGACUAAAAAAAAGUCCACAGAAACAUUUCUCUCAAAGUUAACUCUCUAAUGUCCCCCAAUAAUAAUUAAAAGUUUUGCGCUAUUUCUCACUUAAAGCAUUUGGCGUCCAAAAGAGCUUCACCCUCAAAUGGUUCCUGAUCUUCAAUCAUUUGGCUCACCCUCUCCUUCUGGGCUUCAUCCGAGAUAUCCACCUUCUUCCACUCGUACAGCUCCAUAUCAUAGCACUCAUCAAGCACAAAUUGUGGGAUUUCUUUUCCACGGAAAAGCCAUAGUCCCUUCACCUUGUAUGGUGCCUCUGAUCCGAUCACAAGCAUCUUUCCAAAUGCGUACUUCCUAGCAAUAUCCAUUCUCUGGAGGAAUCCACCAACUUUGUUCAAAGUCACAAAUGAAACAGUAUUCUCGUCGUUGUAUUUGUAGUCACAGAACCAAAGGGAGUAACCUUCUGGGUCAUACAUGUCCCAGAAUCCUGCAUUUCGUAAAACAUAUGGCCAUAGAAUAAUUCAGUUUAACCAUCCUUUCUCUAAAAGAAUUCAAACAGCUAAUGAGGCUGACGAAUGGCCAUACCUUUGAUUGCAACCUCACGGAAGUUAGUCUUAGUGUUCGAGUAGAGACGUUUCCACUCAUCCAAAAUCAUCGAACUAGGAGGAAGCAAGUCAAGAGGGUUUUUGGCCUUGGGCUUUGGUGCCUCCUCAGCAGGUGCUGCAGGCUUCUCUUCUUGUUUCUUGGGCUCAGCCUUUGCUUUGGCAGCUGCUGCAACCUCCUCAGGUGUUUUCACUGGUGGGAUGGCGUCUGUCUGCUUUACCUCACCAAUUACCUUUUUGAAAUUUGGUUGAUUGACCAAUGUCCAGAAGUACCUCUCGACAUGAGGAAACGCAGAAGUAAAGCUCUUAGGCAAAAUAUAGACGAAUCCAUAAUAGAGAUUGCACGUCAAAACAAUAUCAGCCAGUGUCACAGAGUGUCCAACGAGGAAUGUGUUUGAAGCAAGGUAGGAGUCCAAAGCACCGAAAGAUCGUUUUAGGGCAACGUUUGCAGCUUCUUCUGCCUUCAAGAAGAAAAUAGAUCGUAACACAAGUCAUAUGCCAGAGGUAAAAAAAAGCCUACUUCUAUUGCUGCCCACAAAUAAAGAAUACAGGAGAAAAAACAAACUUCAAUCAUUGCCAUCCACUUUCUAAUACCUUGUAAGAAAAACAGACUCAAUAGAAAUAGAAAAGGGUUCUAACUUACAGG